UUUCUAACGUAGAAAAGAUAAGUAGUAUUCUAUCACAUAAAGAGAGUUCACGUUUGGUGAGAGUGAAUUGUGAGAAAAUUCGAAUAUGGUCUUGGAGUGAUUGAUAAUGUGAGUGGUCAUUAGGUAUGAACGCAAGCAGUGUCCGGGUGCGCCCGUUAUAGCCGCGCCAAUUCUUAAUUGUAUUUCAACAAUUAAUGAUUGAUGUUGAGGUGUGCUCGCGUGAGCAGCACAUAAACACCGGGUGGUAACACGAUAAGUCGUCCCGCAG
rnacentral:ncRNA from 1 species